GACCCCAGGUCAGGCGGGAUUACCCGCUGA
rnacentral:ncRNA from 2 species